UACGUAGGGGGCAAGCGUUGUCCGGAAUCAUGGGGCGUAAAGAGCGGGUAGGCGGUCCGGUAAGUCGGCUGUGAAAGUCCAGGGCUCAACCCUGGGAUGCCGGUCGAUACUGCCGGACUAGAGUUCGGAAGAGGCGAGUGGAAUUCCCGGUGUAGCGGUGAAAUGCGCAGAUAUCGGGAGGAACACCUAUGGCGAAGGCAGCUCGCUGGGACGUUACUGACGCUGAGACGCGAAAGCGUGGGGAGCAAACAGG
rnacentral:rRNA from 1 species